rnacentral:rRNA from 1 species
UACGGGGGGGGUAAGCGUUGUUCGGAAUUACUGGGCGUAAAGGGCUCGUAGGCGGCCAACUAAGUCAGACGUGAAAUCCCUCAGCUUAACUGGGGAACUGCGUCUGAUACUGGAUGGCUUGGAUUUGGGAGAGGGAUGCGGAAUUCCAGGUGUAACGGUGAAAUGCGUAGAUAUCUGGAGGAACACCGGUGGCGAAGGCGGCAUCCUGGACCAAUAUUGACGCUGAGGAGCGAAAGCCAGGGGAGCAAACGGG